rnacentral:rRNA from 1 species
AUGGCGGCACCCCAACCUGCCGGGUUUUCCUCCUCGUCAGCCCAGCGGAGAGGAGCGGUGGAUCCGCCUCCUCUUGGACCUAGCGCCCGAUCCGAGGUGUGCGGGCGCGGACGAGCUUCCCCCGCCGGCCCGCGACAGCGGCGACCUACAAGCAAAGGGCAAGGGCGAGGCGACGGCAGAGAGAGAGAAGAUGAGAGGGAGAAGAAGGAAGGAGAGGAGGGAGAAAGAGAGAGAGGAAAGAGGAGAAGGAGGCGCGUCGUCGGAUGGACGAGGGUCACCGCCGGUCGAGGCCUGCGCGUGGCGGUCGCGGCGGAGGAUCUGGAGCUGAGCCCAAGCAGUUGA